AAUAUGUGCCUGCCCAUUGCUACUGGAAUCCUCCACUCUCUUCACUGUAUGAUUUGGAAAGACCGUUCUGUAAAGUACAUACAUAAUCAAUCAGAAAACUAAAGCUCAGAGAUUAAGUUCAGCCAGGAACACGGUGGAGAUAGCAGAGCUGGGUAUACUUGGAAGGACUUCUUUUAAAAGUGUUGGAUUUGAAUCCAGGCUGUUGAUUCUGUGGUGUUGGUUCCAACACUUAAGGACAUUAGAAGUAUUAUACUUACGCGUCCUGAUGAUCACCUGAGAAAAUCAUAAGGUAAAGAAAAAGUUCCAUUAUAAAAGAAAAAUGCCCUAGUGGGAAUAUACGUUAGAAACCAAGCCUGUAAGGAUUUUCUAACUAUUUAAACAUCUAAAAUCUACAAAAAAUUCAAUAAAUCAUACUGAUCUACA